rnacentral:tRNA from 1 species
UAUGGCUCAGUGGUAGAGUACCUGCCUAGCAAGCAUAAGGCCCUUAGUUCAAACCUGAGUA